UUGUUUUAUGGGGAAAAACUCCUUCAGUUGUUUUAUGGUAAAGAAAUUCUUUCAGUUGUAUUAUGGGGGAAAAGUUCUUUCAGUUUUGUUAUGGUGAAGAAAUUCCUUCAGUUGUGUUAUGGGGAAAAAUUCCUACAGUUGUUUUAUGGGGAAAAACUCCUUCAGUUGUGUUAUGGUAAAGAAAUUCUUUCAGUUGUGUUAUGGUGAAGAAAUUCCUUCAGUUGUGUUGUGGUAAAGAAACUCCUUCAGUUGUUUUAUGGGGAAAAAUUCCUUCAGUCUCCUCCAGCUCUCCUGAGGGAUGUAGGCAGAGGAUGCUGGGCUGCUUUGAUAUUAUUUUUAUAUCUGGAUAUCAUGUAAACUUCUAAAAACAUCAUCUGUACCUGUGGAUUUGGGAAUAUUGACAAAAUUCCCGACAGGGAAUGCAUCCACACCAGCCUGCAGCAGGAAAUACCCACAGGAAAGGAUUUGGGGAGCACAGAAAACACUGGAUUGGCACUCAGCAGGAUUUUCUGACAGCAUGGAAAAGUGUGAUUGUGUGGAGGACACCAGGGCAGGAUCCAGGGAAAAGCUGGAAGAAGUUCCUGGAGAAAUUUGUAACACUCAGCUGCAGUCGCUGACUUCCCCAAUUAUGUUUGGAGGGGAUUAGCAAACACCAAAAGGGCUUUAGCAGCUGGAGUGUGAAAUGAAGGAGGUGUGGAAAACAAUCCCCGUGGUCUCACAGUGGGGAGAACCUUCCUGGGCUUCUCAGGGAACCUCUGCUCUUUGUCCAGCUGCUCCUGAAACCCUUCAGAGAACUAAAAAAUGUGCUAGGCCUCCCUUUCCACAGGGAAAAUGUUCCUUUUCCUUAAGGAAAAUGCCACAAAAUUCUUUGUUCAAUCCGUUAGGGAUUAAUGGAAUGAUCGUGGUGGUGGAUGGGAGGAAGGUGUUCUUUGGGAAGGUUUCAAUUUUUGGUAUUUGUGAAGAGAAAAAAAAAGGAAUGUGACUUUCCAGAGUGGGUUUUGUGGUGAUAAUUCCAGUUCUGUUCAUACAGGAUUUAUCCAGGGAAGAGCCUGGGGACAGCAGGAGGUGGUUUUGGGGUCCUUUCCCACCCAAACCAUUCCAUGAUGCCACUUCCCAUCCAUUGCUCCACUUUUCCAGAUGGAGGAAGGGAUUUGGAAAGGAAUGAUCUUGGUGGUGGAUGGGAGGAAGGUGUUCCUUGGGAAGAUUUCAAUUUUUGGUAUUUCUGAAGAUUAAAAAAAAGGAAUGUGACUUUCCAGAGUGGGUUUUGUGGGAUAAUUCCAGUUCUGUUCAUACAGGGAAGGAAUUAGGAUUAGGGAUUAAAGGAAUGAUCUUGGUGGUGGAUGGGAGGAAGGUGUUCCUUGGGAAGGUUUUAACUUUUGGUAUUUCUGAAGAGAAAAAAAGGAAUGUGAAUUUCCAGAGUGGGUUUUGUAGUGAUAAUUCCAGUUCUGUUCAUACAGGAUUUGUCCAGGGAAGAGCCUGGGGACAGCAGGAGGUGGUUUUGGGGUCCCUUCCCACCCAAACCAUUCCAUGAUGCCAUUUCCCAUCCAUUGCUCCACUUUUCCAGAUGGAGGAAGGGAUUUGGAAAGGGAUGAUCUUGGUGGUGGAUGGGAGGAAGGUGUUCCUUGGGAAGGUUUUAACUUUUGGUAUUUGUGAAGAUUAAAAAAAAGGAAUGUGAAUUUCCAGAGUGGGUUUUGUAGUGAUAAUUCCAGUUCUGUUCAUACAGGGAAGGAAUUAGGAUUAGGGAUUAAAGGAAUGAUCUUGGUGGUGGAUGGGAGGAAGGUGUUCUUUGGGAAGAUUUCAAUUUUUGGUAUUUGUGAAGAUUAAAAAAAAGGAAUGUGAAUUUCCAGAGUGGGUUUUGUGGUGAUAAUUCCAGUUCUGUUUGUACAGGAUUUAUCCAGGGAAGGAAUUAGGAUUAGGGAUUAAAGGAAUGAUCUUGGUGGUGGAUGGGAGGAAGGUGUUCCUUGGGAAGAUUUCAACUUUUGGUAUUUCUGAAGAUUAAAAAAAAGGAAUGUGAAUUUCCAGAGUGGGUUUUGUAGUGAUAAUUCCAGUUCUGUUCAUACAGGAUUUAUCCAGGGAAGAGCCUGGGGACAGCAGGAGGUGGUUUUGGGGUCCUUUCCCACCCAAACCAUUCCAUGAUGCCAUUUCCCAUCCAUUGCUCCACUUUUCCAGAUGGAGGAAGGGAUUUGGAAAGGGAUGAUCUUGGUAGUGGAUGGGAGGAAGGUGUUCUUUGGGAAGAUUUCAAUUUUUGGUAUUUCUGAAGAGAAAAAAAAGAAUGUGAAUUUCCAGAGUGGGUUUUGUGGGGAUAAUUCCAGUUCUGUUCAUACAGGAUUUGUCCAGGGAAGGAAUUAGGAUGAGGGAUUAAAGGAAUGAUCUUGGUGGUGGAUGGGAGGAAGGUGUUCUUUGGGAAGGUUUUAACUUUUGGUAUUUUUGAAGAGAAGAAAAAGGAAUGUGAAUUUCCAGAGUGGGUUUUGUAGUGAUAAUUCCAGUUCUGUUCAUACAGGGAAGGAAUUAGGAUUAGGGAUUAAAGGAAUGAUCUUGGUGGUGGAUGGGAGGAAGGUGUUCCUUGGGAAGGUUUUAACUUUUGGUAUUUGUGAAGAGAAAAAAACGGAAUGUGACUUUCCAGAGUGGGUUUUGUAGUGAUAAUUCCAGUUCUGUUUGUACAGGAUUUAUCCAGGGAAGCGCCUGGGGACAGCAGGAGGUGGUUUUGGGGUCCUUUCCCACCCAAACCAUUCCAUGAUGCCAUUUCCCAUCCAUUGCUCCAUUUUUACAGAUGAAGGAAGGGAUUUGGAAAAGGAUUUUGGGGUAAAAAAUCCUCCCUGUGAGGCUGAGGAGUGCCCAAGGCCAGGCUGGAUGAGGCUGGGAGCAGCCUGGGACAGGGAAAAGUCUCCCUGUCCUGGCACUGGAUGGGUUUGGAGCUUUUCCACUCUGGAAUUCCACAAUUCCAAGUGGAACAUCUCCACCCAAUCUUUGCAUUUAAAGAGGUUUGAUUUGAUUUUUGUAAUAUUUAAGCACCCAGAGGAUUUUUUUUUGGGGGGAGUGCAGCUGGCUUUGGGAGGAAGGCGUGUGUGGAAAAGCAGAGCUGGGCUCAGGAAGUGUCAGGAGGGAUAAAUUAUAAUAACUUAUUGAAAUAAUAAUAAUAAUAAUUUGAAUAAUGACUUAUUGAAAGUUAUUUCUUCCCCUGGGUAAUGAGGAGGUAAUGAGUGGUGGUGAGAGCAGAGGGUCUGUCCCACCCAUGGCCACCCAGGAAUUCCAUGGUUUGUCCUGGAAAAAUGAAAAUAAAGGGAAAAACACCCAGGAAUUCCAGGGUUUGUCCUGGAAAAAUGAAAAUAAAGGGGAGAAAUACCCAGGAAUUUCAUGGUUUCUCCUGGAGAAAAUAAAGGGGAAAAGCACCCAGGAAUUCCAUGGUUUGUCCUGGAGAAAAUGAAAAUAAAGGGGAAAAGUACCCAGGAAUUCCAUGGUUUGUCCUGGAGAAAAUGAAAAUAAAGGGGAGAAACAGGAAUUCUAUGGUUUAUCCUGAAGAAAAUUAAAAUAAAGGGAGAAACAGGAAUUCCAUGGUUUAUCCUGGAUAAAAUGAAAAUAAAGGGGAGAAACACCCAGGAAUUCCACAGUUUGUCCUGGAGGAAAUAAAGGGGAAAAGCACCCAGGAAUUCCAUGGUUUGUCCUGGAGAAAAUGAAAAUUAAGGGGAGAAACGGGAAUUCUAUGGUUUGUCCUGGAUAAAAUGAAAAUAAAGGGAAAAACACCCAGGAAUUCCAUGGUUUGUCCUGGAGAAAAUGAAAAUAAAGAGGAGAAAUACCCAGGAAUUUCAUGGUUUCUCCUGGAGAAAAUAAAGGGGAAAAGCACCCAGGAAUUCCAUGGUUUGUCCUGGAGAAAAUUAUAAUAAAGGGGAGAAACAGGAAUUCUAUGGUUUGUCCUGGAGAAAAUGAAAAUAAAAGGAAAAGAACCCAGGAAUUCCACGGUUUAUCCUGGAGAAAAUAAA